rnacentral:rRNA from 1 species
UACGAAGGGGGCGAGCGUUGUUCGGAAUUACUGGGCGUAAAGGGCGCGCAGGCGGCCGUUGAAGUCAGGCGUGAAAGCCCCGGGCUCAACCUGGGAAUUGCGCUUGAUACUCGAUGGCUGGAGUUCGGGAGAGGAGAGUGGAAUUCCCAGUGUAGAGGUGAAAUUCGUAGAUAUUGGGAAGAACACCGGUGGCGAAGGCGGCUCUCUGGACCGAAACUGACGCUGAGGCGCGAAAGCGUGGGGAGCAAACAGG